GACGAACGCUGGCGGCAGGCCUAACACAUGCAAGUCGAACGAGUGGCGGACGGGUGAGUAAUGUCUGGGAAACUGCCUGAUGGAGGGGGAUAACUACUGGAAACGGUAGCUAAUACCGCAUACCAUCAGAUGUGCCCAGAUGGGAUUAGCUAGUUGGUGGGGUAACGGCUCACCAAGGCGACGAUCCCUAGCUGGUCUGAGAGGAUGACCCGCCACACGGGAACUGAUACACGGUCCAGACUCCUACGGGAGGCAGCAGUGGGGAAUAGUGCACAAUGGACGAAAGCCUGAUGCAGCAAUGCCGCGUGUAUGAAGAAGGCCUUCGGGUUGUAAAGUACUUGCAGCGGGGAGGCGUUACCCGCAGAAGAAGCACCGGCUAACUCCGUGCCAGCAGCCGCGGUAAUAC
rnacentral:rRNA from 1 species